rnacentral:rRNA from 1 species
CAGUCGCCGCGGUAAUACAGAGGGUGCGAGCGUUAAUCGGAUUUACUGGGCGUAAAGCGUGCGUAGGCGGCUUCUUAAGUCGGAUGUGAAAUCCCUGAGCUUAACUUAGGAAUUGCAUUCGAUACUGGGAAGCUAGAGUAUGGGAGAGGAUGGUAGAAUUCCAGGUGUAGCGGUGAAAUGCGUAGAGAUCUGGAGGAAUACCGAUGGCGAAGGCAGCCAUCUGGCCUAAUACUGACGCUGAGGUACGAAAGCGUGGGGAGCAAACAGGAUUAGAUACCCGGGUAGUCCCUGUCUCUUAUAC